GAAAGAUCUUCUCUGGGAAGCUCCUGCAGAGGGCUAGCUAUAGCCCCUCACUGGGCCCGUCUGAACCCUGGCAACUGGAGGAGCCACUGGAGGUGACUGGCCCAGCUGACCACAGAGAAUCUGAUGUCUUGUGGGAGACCCCAAUGUAGACACUGAACAGUGCAACAGCAGAAACUCGGAAGAAACUUGGUGGUGCCACAUGCAAACUGCUCUCCAAAGCUCUAGAGUCAAUUGUCAGUCUCUUCUCUGGCUAAGAAGAAUAAAGUAUACAGAGUGGACUGAUUUAAAUUAAAGCAAUUUCAAUAAAAUGUAACUUAAAUCGUU